UUAAAAUUAUGUGCUGUCACGUGAUAAACAAGAUUGAAGUUUUCUAGAUCUUUGGGAAAUGUCAUUUUACUAUAACAUCUUACUUUCUAAAGGCCAAACAUGCAUGUGUAUUCAUUUUAUUUAAUGUGGAAUUAUGAUUCCAUUAUUAUAGGGGAAAGGAUGUAAGUGUUGAGAACAUGCAUCAAGGUUUUACACACGUGUUUAAGUCAACUUUUGGAAUAAUUGUUACUUGUUACAAUAUCUCAUGCUGGUCUAAUGGUCUUGCCUUUAACAUCAUUUUAUUCUCUCUCUGUGUCUCUUGUUAACUUUAAUCAAUACAUUUAUUCUGAAGCUAUGUUCAUCGAGUGGGUCAUACAGCAAGAGCUGGCCGAGAAGGAUGCGCCGUCACAUUUGUGACUGAUAAUGACCGGUCACUUCCAAAAGCAAUUGCAAAGAGAGCUGGUUCAAAUCUGUAGAGGUGAAUUGUAGCAGAGCAAUUCAUACAUAAAUGGUCUCAUAUAAUUGAGCAAUUAGAGGAUCAAAUUGCAGAAGUACUUGAAGAAGAGAGGUUUUUGAUUGUUAAUGGUUCUCAUAUUUUAACUACUGUACUGUAUUAAUAACUAAUGUGUUGUAUUUUUACAUCCCAAAUUCUCAAUUUUUCUUAUUUUGGGGUCCAAGGAAGAAAGAGCCCUAAGAAAAGCUAUAAUGGAAGCGGCUAGAGAGAUGUUGGAAGAUGAAGGAGAUGAUGACAAACCAGAAGUAUGCACUUCCUUGUUUGCAUUUAAGGUUGUAAUUUAAUAUGUAUUCCUUAACCUCUGUUGAACUUUAAUACAUGAACUGCAAGCUAAGGGGGCAAAUAAGAAAGAAAAGGGUGGACUUUCGCUUGUUGAUGUCGCUUAUCAACGAGCAAAAGCGGUGAAGCUGUCAAGAAGGCAAUGGAUUCAGGCAAGAUCGUGAAGAAGAACAAAAAGAAUACUGCUCGUCCUUCACAUAAGUCGUCUUCAAGGACACAGGAGAUGCAGGAGCUAUUCCAGGCUGACAUGAAGGACAAAUAGUUGAAAGAAGAGGUGCUGGAGCAGGAAAGAAAUCCAAGAGUUCGUUCAAGAGCAAGUCAAGGUACAAGCGCAAGUAGUUUGAGGCUAACGAUCCUUAUUGAAAAUGUGUUCAUGGAAUGAAAAUGCACCUGCAAUGCAAGACCUUAUUGUUAAUCUGACAUGGGUGCAAAGGCAUAAGACUUGUACCAUAUCCAAUCACCAAUGGAGGUGAUUAAAUGAGCAGCUCCUACCACCUGUGAGUUUUAAUUGUUGCCUUUUGAUCCUUUUGUGUUACCAUGGUGACUGGUUGAAUAUUAGUUAUUUAGAUGUUCCUAGUUGAGAAUACCUUACUGAUUCUUUGCUUAGACAGAAUUGAAGUAGAAACUAACAGUAAAAAGAAAGUCAGUGAUUUUUAUUAUCCUUUUUAUAAUAUUUCUGUUAAGCUGGUUUUCAAUUAAUUAAGCAAAGAGAAUUGGUUCAAAGCUGAAGAGCCGAAUUGUAGCGAAGCAAUCCAUACAUAAAUGGUCUCAUAUAAUUGAGCAAUUGGGAACUUUGCUUCAUUCUUUCUGCUGUAUUAUUGUAUUGCAUCUGUGCUAGGCUCUAUUUGUUUUCUUUUGAUCAUUAACUAUGUGCUAAUCAUUGAUGUAACAUAGAUUUGUAGUAUUUGUGUUGUUUAAAUUUGUAUUAUGCUU